rnacentral:rRNA from 1 species
UACCCGCGGUUAGACGGAAAGACCCCGUGCACCUUCACUACAGCUUCGCACUGGCAUCAGACACAACAUGUGCAGGAUAGGUGGUAGGCUUCGAAGCAGGGACGCCAGUCUCUGUGGAGCCUCCCUUGAGAUACCACCCUUGUUUUGUUUGAUGUCUAACCGCGGUCCGUUAUCCGGAUCCGGGACCCUGCGUGGUGGGUAGUUUGACUGGGG